GAGGCUAUCCCUGUUACACAGCUUGUAAGGGAAAUUGCUGCUGUUAUGCAGGAGUUCACUCACUCCGGUGGCGUUCGUACUUUCGGAGUUUCACUACUGGUUGCUGGGUUUGACGACAAAGGUCCACAACUGUAUCAGAGUACUAACACCAGCUGAAAUUGAUGAUUACUUGGCUGAAGUGUAGUUCAUUUCCCUUUAAUGAAGAAACUGGAGAGAACUUUUAUUAUAGGGCAAGGACUGGUUGAGUUAUUCGAUUUAUACUGGUCCUUGUUACUGCAAAAUGCCUUGUUUGUCAUGAUGAUCUACUUAAUUAUAUGUACUUGUACACUUCCCC